rnacentral:rRNA from 1 species
AUUGAACGCUGGCGGCAGGCCUAACACAUGCAAGUCGAGCGAGCGGCGGACGGGUGAGUAAUGUCUGGGAAACUGCCUGUUGGAGGGGGGUAACUAUUGGAAACGGUAGCUAAUACCGCACACCAUCAGAUGUGCCCAGAUGGGAUUAGCUAGUAGGUGGGGUAACGGCUCACCUAGGCGACGAUCCCUAGCUGGUCUGAGAGGAUGACCAGCCACACGGGAACUGAGACACGGCCCAGACUCCUACGGGAGGCAGCAGGGGGGAAUAGUGCACAAUGGGCGCAAGCCUGAUGCAGUCAUGCCGCGUGUUUGAAGAAGGCCUUCGGGUUGUAAAGUACUUUCAGCGGGGAGGCGUUACCCGCAGAAGAAGCACCGGCUAACUCCGUGCCAGCAGCCGCGGUAAUAC